rnacentral:rRNA from 1 species
UACGGAGGGUGCGAGCGUUGUCCGGAAUCACUGGGCGUAAAGGGCGCGUAGGUGGCUUUUCAAGCGCGCGGUGAAAGCCCGGGGCUCAACCCCGGGUCGGCCGUGCGGACUGGGAGGCUCGAGCACUGUAGGGGCGGGUGGAACUCCCGGUGUAGCGGUGGAAUGCGUAGAGAUCGGGAAGAACACCAGUGGCGAAGGCGACGUGCUGGGCUGCAACUGACGCUGAGAUGCGAAAGUGUGGGGAGCAAACGGG